AGUGAACGCUGGCGGUAGGCCUAACACAUGCAAGUCGAACGGCAGCACAGUAAGAGCUUGCUCUUACGGGUUGCGAGUGGCGGACGGGUGAGGAAUACAUCGGAAUCUACUUUUUCGUGGGGGAUAACGUAGGGAAACUUACGCUAAUACCGCAUACGACCUACGGGUGAAAGCAGGGGAUCUUCGGACCUUGCGCGAUUGAAUGAGCCGAUGUCGGAUUAGCUAGUUGGCGGGGGAAAGGCCCACCAAGGCGACGAUCCGUAGCUGGUCUGAGAGGAUGAUAAGCCACACUGGAACUGAGACACGGUCCAGGCGCCUACGGGAGGCAGCAGUGGGGAAUAUUGGACAAUGGGCGCAAGCCUGAUCCAGCCAUACCGCGUGGGUGAAGAAGGCCUUCGGGUUGUAAAGCCCUUUUGUUGGGAAAGAAAAGCAGCAGGUUAAUACCCCGCUGUUCUGACGGUACCCAAAGAAUAAGCACCGGCUAACUUCGUG
rnacentral:rRNA from 1 species